UGGGGAAUAUUGCACAAUGGGGGAAACCCUGAUGCAGCGACGCCGCGUGAGCGAAGAAGGUUUUCGAAUCGUAAAGCUCUGUCCUAUGAGAAGAUAAUGACGGUAUCAUAGGAGGAAGCCCCGGCUAAAUACGUGCCAGCAGCCGCGGUAAUACGUAUGGGGCGAGCGUUGUCCGGAAUUAUUGGGCGUAAAGGGUACGUAGGCGGUCUAUUAAGUCAGGUGUGAAAGCGUGAGGCUUAACCUCAUUAAGCACUUGAAACUGAUAGACUUGAGUGAAGGAGAGGAAAGUGGAAUUCCUAGUGUAGCGGUGAAAUGCGUAGAUAUUAGGAGGAAUACCGGUGGCGAAGGCGACUUUCUGGGCUUUUACUGACGCUCAGGUACGAAAGCGUGGGGAGCAAACAGG
rnacentral:rRNA from 1 species